rnacentral:rRNA from 1 species
CGAUGGACAACGGGUUGAUAUUCCCGUACCCGUGUGAACGCGCCCCUGGUGAAUCAGUGAUGCUAACGCCCUGAAGCCGCCUUCGAACCUUCGGGUUCUCCGGUGUGUUGGAUGCGCGUGGAACCGAUCUGGUAGUAGCCAAGCGAUGUGGUGACGCAGGAAGGUACUGAGCCAUCCAGUGGUAAUACUUGUGUAAGCGUGUAGGGCGUGACCUAGGCAAAUCCGGGUCCAUACAGCUGAGACGUGAUGCGUAGCCGAUUGAGCGCAAUUCAGUGAUCCUAUGCUGCCGAGAAAAGCCCGUAGCGAGCUUUCACACGGCCCGUCCCCAAACCGACACAGGUUGUCAGGUAGAGAAUACUAAGGCGAUCCAUCGAAUAACUGUGGUUAAUGAACUCGGCAAAAUGCCCACCGUAACUUCGGGAUAAGGGGGGCCUCGUCUGGUGACGGAACUAUGCUUCCUGAAGCUGGGUUGGGCCGCAGAGACCCAGAGAAAGCCGACUGUUACUAAAAACACAGGUCCUUGCGAAGCUUAAGACGAUGUAUACGGACUGACGCCUGCCCGGUGCUGAAGGUUAAGAGGGACCGGUAGCCAGUAAUGGCGAAGCUGAGAAUUUAAGCCCCAUAAACGGCGGUGGUAACUAUAACCAUCUAAGGUAAGUCGCAAUUCCUUGUCGGUAAGUUCCGACCUGCACGAAUGGCGUAACGACUUCUCUGCUGUCUCAACCACAGACUCGGCGAAAAUGCAUUACGAUUAAAGAUGCUCGUUACGCGCGGCAGGACGAAAAGACCCCGGGACCUUCACUAUAGCUUGGUAUUGGUGUUCGUUUCGGUUUGUGUAGGAUAGGUGGGAGACUGUAAGCGGGCACGCCAGUGUUCGUGGAGUCGUUGUUGAAAUACCAUUCUCUGAUCGUAUUGGACAUCUAACCUCGGACCAUGAUCUGGUUCAGGGACAGUGCCUGGUGGGUAGUUUAACUGGGCGGUUGCCUCCCAAAAUGUAACGGGGGCGCCCAAAGGUUUCCCUCAGCCUGGUUGGCAUCAGGUGUCCGAGUGCAAGUGCACAAGGGAGCUUGACUGUGAGACUGACAGGUCGAGCAGGGACGAAAGUCGGGACUAGUGAUCCGGCACCGGCAAGUGGGAAGCGGUGUCGCUCAACGGGAUAAAAGGUACCCCGGGAUAACAGGCUGAUCUUCCCCAAGAGUCCAUAUCGACGGGAUGGUUUGGCACCUCGAUGUCGGCUCGUCGCAUCCUGGGGCUGGAGUAGGUCCCAAGGGUUGGGCUGUUCGCCCAUUAAAGCGGCACGCGAGCUGGGUUUAGAACGUCGUGAGACAGUUCGGUCUCUAUCCGCCGCGCGCGUUAGAAACUUGAGGAAGGCUGUCCCCGAGUACGAGAGGACCGGGACUGACGAACCUCUGGUGUGCCAGUUGUUCCGCCAGGAGCACUGCUGGUUAGCUACUUCGGAAGGAUAACCGCUGAAAGCAUCUAAGCGGGAGCCUGUUCCAAGAUGAGUUUUCUCACCCCCUCGAGGGGUAAGGCCCCCGGCAGACCACCGGGUUGAUAGGCCAGAACUGGAAGCACAGUAAUUGGUUUGGAGGUGACUGGUACUAAUAGUCCGAGGACUUACCACAA